rnacentral:snoRNA from 1 species
CUGUAGCCAAUUAAGAUGAUCAGUUGCUUUCUUCAUGGGAACCUGGUGUCCAUUGGCUACAAACAGCAGUCUCCAUGAUAGUGCCCACAGCCUAUGAGUUGCCCUAAGGGACCUUGGAGACAAAU